ensembl:misc_RNA Metazoa_SRP Metazoan signal recognition particle RNA
GCCAGGCGUGGUGGCUCAUGCCUGUAAUCCAAGCACUUUGGAGGCCAAGGAGGGAGGAUCACCUGAGGUCGGGAGUUCAAGACCAGCCUGACCAACAUGGUGAAACCCCGCCUUUA